rnacentral:lncRNA from 1 species
GGUGAAAACAUAAUAAUGCCGAACUAAGUUGACAUUUCUGACAAUGUUGACUACAUAGCAAAGCAUGAAACACAUCAAAAAAGCUGCCUUACAACCUUUAUGUCUAAGCCUAGAAAAUGCGAGUCUUGAGGCUAUGUCAUAAGAGCAUCCUCAACAAGGAGAACUACACGGGUACCAAGAAACAAAUGACCAAUGUGGAGGAGAGAUGAAUACCACAUCUAAGUAGUGGUUACUUGAAGAAGUAACAGGUACUACACGGAUACCAAGACAGAAAAGAAGAUGACAUAUGGGCCCAUCAAGAAAAAGAAACGAAUAAGAAAAAAGAACACAUAUUGAAAUAGAGAGAGAAGAAUUUUAGUAUCAACCACCAUUGGAGAUGCCCUAAGUGGAUAUGCAACAUCGCAUAAAUAAGCAGCUGG